UCUCUGAGCUUUUCAUGGCUUUUCCCAGAAUGAUGCCUGGGAAACUAUCCAUUUCUCUCUCUCAGUAUCUACAAGUAAUACCCAGUGAGCAGUGUCAAACUGGAUAAAGUUGUCUGGAGAUAAAAUUCCACCCUUGAAGAAGGUCAGAAUUCUGCUGGAGUUGUCAGAUCUAAUGUCCAAGUUGACCCUGCUCUGAGUGAGAGGAUCUAGGACAUCCUGAGCUGCUGAAAAUGUAAGAGCCAUUUAUUACCAAGGAGACUUAGACUCAAGAGCUGCCUGCACCAGCAUCCAUACAGCUGUCAUGGCCCUCCAGUGCAUGGUAAAUGGCUCUGCUCUGCCCUGGCCCAGGGGUAAGGUUCCUCCAGCUGAAGAAUCGCUCUGCUUGCUGCUGUGACAGAAGGCAGAUUGCGUACGGGAAUCCCUUGAAGGACAGACUGCAUCUGAACUAGACCUGUUUUAAUAUUGACUCAGCCUUGUCCAUCUAAAGCCAUUACGAGGGUCCUGCCCUGCCAGGGAGAUAGUGAGGCCUGUUGAGUGCAUCUAAGGAAAGCAAAGGCACUUUUGAACACAGCAAAAAAUAAUCUGCAUUUUGAUUGUUUUCAUUUAGUCUCAGGUCUGGGCACUUGUCAGAAAUUAUUCUAAAUGCAUAGUGCAUCGAAAGUUUCCCUAAAUUUCAAUGCU